GGGAAGAGCCCCCUCCAGCUCCAGUGGCUUCCGAGAUUUUUAUCACACUGGACAGCACGGUUCCAUCCGCUCAUCUAAAGGAGGAUCAAAACAAGGUCAGUCCUGUCCUGGGUGUCACCCCCCCUCCCCCCGGCUUGGCUUGGAAAGGAUACAGGCUCUGGGUUCAAACCAAGAUCACGAGCAAGAAACUCAAAUCCUCUGGGCUCUGGGUCCCUGGCUGCAAAACGGUGAUGGCGCAGCAUCUUGCUCUCAGAGGCACCAUGGUCUCUGGAGCUGGGCAGUCUGGGUUAGAUCCCAGCAUCACCUCUGAUGAGCUGUGUGACUUGAGCAAGUGACCGAACCUCUCUGUGCCUCCGUUUCCUCAUCUCUAAGAGGGCUGCUGCAAGGUUUAAGUGGCUUUCCAGAGAGACCAGGACCCGGGCCAUGUGCAUUUGCUCCUGUUAUUGUCUCCAAGUGUUAUAAGAUGAAAAUAAGGCGGAAUGGAAAAGUGCAACAAUAAAGGUGAUUUUUACUUAUGGCCAUUUCUUCAGGAAGUGGUUAGAGAUGCAGCGGAGACUGGCUGGCUAUUCCUCCAAUCCCCUUGCUCCUCCUCCCAGCACCCAACCAGAUCGCAUUUCCCAGACUCUCUUAAGCUUGGGGGGGCACCAUGUGAUUGAAUCUGGAAGCUGAGCUGUGUGGUUUGCUGCCUCUGAGCCUGGCUGUCCUUAUAAAUACCUCUCUCUCAGGGUCCUCACACUUUUCCCCUGGGUCCUAUUUCUCUUCUGCAUUGGGGAGGAUACUUGGGCAUAAAAGGAGGCAGCGUCCAAGGUUAAGGCCCCUGGCCCUGAAUGACUGUGUGGAGUCAUUCCUUGCUGCCACCCCGCCCGGAAAUCAGCAAGAAACAGAUUGGUUUUGGGUCAAGACACAGACAUUUUAGAGUUGCUGCUGCUGCUUUAGCAACUGGCAUACCCUGACUGAUACAGAGGACAAGAGUGUCCCGGGCUGGGAGGAGAGAGAGUGUCCCGGGCUAGUUUCUGUGGACAGCUGUUGUCACGUUCUAGGGAGAACAUCGGGCCACAAAGCAGAAACGGCAGAUGCUCCAGAUUCAGUUCACUUGUCUCCUGUGUGACUUUGAUUGAGUGGAGUAAGCUCUCUGAGCUGUCACUUUUUUCCCUUGAAAAGAGACAUAGAAGAGCUUCAUCGGGAGCAGUUACAAGGAUUCCCAGACGUGCAUCUGUGACAGUGUCUAGAACAUGGGGUGCACGAUCGGGGCUUUGAAGCUGCUGUUCCAUUCUGUCCCCAUGAGAGCAGCUUCUGCCCUCAGAGUGGCUCAUGUCCCCACCCCCGACUGUCUUCUGCAUCCUUGGGUUGGGGGGUAGGUCUUCCUUUCCCCAGUGACAGGCUGGGUGGUGAGGUGUGGGAAGGAACAUCUCAGGUGAGCCUCAGAGACUGCCCCCGGCAUCCAUUCUCCUAGGGACCCUGUGGUCUGGCAGGCCUCAAGGGGACCAGACGGGAGGCUGCAGAGGCUGAUGCUCAGCGAAGGUGUGGUUCCCUCUUCCUGGAAUGCUCUUCCUGCUCCUCUUCAGCAGCUGGCUCUUUGCCACCCUUCAGGCAUAGCCCCUGGACCUGCUCGCUGAAGAUCACUCACCCAGUGGAAUCCAGCAACCGUGGCAGGAUACACCCAAGCUAUCCUCUGGAGAAGCCCAGGUGGUGCAUUUGUGGGCAUGCGUGUGCUUCAUACUCCGAUGAGGACCUCUACGCCAAUCGGAUUUCUGCAGCAUCAGUAAUGCCUGCCCAGGGGGCCCUUUAAUUUAGUCAAUCAGUCCCCGGUUGUUGGGCAUAUCAGUUGUCUGUCAGCUUUUUUGUUUUGUUUUAAUAACUGUAAAUAGUGUGUGGAUGAACAUCUUUAGAACUAAAC